UUCCGGUUGAUCCCGCCAGAGGCUACUGCUAUCGGGGUCCGACUAAGCCAUGCGAGUUGAGAGGGGUAAGCCCUCGGCAUAUUGCUCAGUAACACGCGGAUAACCUGCCCUUGGGUUUGGGAUAACCCCGGGAAACUGGGACUAAUACCGGAUAGAUCAAAGAAACUGGAAUGUUCUCUGAUCGAAAGCUCCGGCGCCCAAGGAUGGGUCUGCGGCCUAUCAGGUAGUAGUGGGUGUAACGUACCUACUAGCCUACGACGGGUAAGGGUUGUGAGAGCAAGAGCCCUGAGAUGGAUUCUGAGACAUGAAUCCAGGCCCUACGGGGUGCAGCAGGCGCGAAAACUUUACACUGCGGGAAACCGCGAUAAGGGGACCCCGAGUGCCAGCACCUAGUGCUGGCUGUCCAGCUGUUCAAAUAACAGUUGUUAGCAAGGGCCGGGCAAGACCGGUGCCAGCCGCCGCGGUAACACCGGCGGCCCGAGUGGUAGCCGUUAUUAUUGGGUUUAAAGGGUCCGUAGCCGGCCUAUUAAGUCUCUUGGGAAAUCUGGCGACUCAAUCGUCAGGCGUUCAAGAGAUACUGGUAGGCUUGGGACCGGGAGAGGUGGGAGGUACUCCAGGGGUAGGGGUGAAAUCUCGUAAUCCUUGGGGGACCACCGAUGGCGAAGGCAUCCCACCAGAACGGGUCCGACGGUGAGGGACGAAAGCUGGGGGCACGAACCGGAUUGGAUACCCGGGUAGUCCCAGCCGUAAACGAUGCUCGCUAGGUGUCAGGUGCGGUGCGACCGCAUCUGGUGCCGCAGUGAAAACUUGAAGCGAGUCACCUGGGAAGUACGGUCGCAAGGCUGAAACUUAAAGGAAUUGGCGGGGGAGCACUACAACGGGUGGAGCCUGCGGUUCAAUUGGAUUCAACGCCGGG
rnacentral:rRNA from 1 species